CGGAGGGUGCAAGCGUUAUCCGGAUUCACUGGGUUUAAAGGGUGUGUAGGCGGGCUGUUAAGUCAGUGGUGAAAUCUCCAGGCUCAACCUGGAAACUGCCAUUGAUACUAUCAGUCUUGAAUAUUGUUGAGGUAGGCGGAAUAAGUCAUGUAGCGGUGAAAUGCAUAGAUAUGACUUAGAACACCAAUUGCGAAGGCAGCUUACUAAACAAUUAUUGACGCUGAGGCACGAAAGCGUGGGGAUCAAACAGGAUUAGAUACCCUGGUAGUCCACACUGUAAACGAUGAUUACUCGAUGUUGGCGAUACACAGCCAGCGUCUUAGCGAAAGCGAUAAGUAAUCCACCUGGGGAGUACGCCGGCAACGGUG
rnacentral:rRNA from 1 species